CGUUGUUCGGAAUUACUGGGCGUAAAGCGCGUGUAGGGGGCAGCGUGUGUCGGGCGUGAAAUCCCACGGCUCAACCGUGGAAGUGCACUCGAAACUGCGCAGCUAGAGUCCUGGAGAGGAAGGUGGAAUGCUUGGUGUAGAGGUGAAAUUCGUAGAUAUCAAGCGGAACACCGGUGGCGAAGGCGGCCUUCUGGACAGUGACUGACGCUGAGACGCGAAGGCGUGGGGAGCAAACAGG
rnacentral:rRNA from 1 species